rnacentral:rRNA from 1 species
CAGAAACUCAAAGGAAUUGAGGGGGCCCCGGCACAAGCGGUCGGAGUAGUGUGGGUUUAAAUUCGAUGCAACGCGAAGAACCUUACCUGGUCUUGACAUCCCGGAGACCCUUAGGAAACUAGGGGGUGCUUCCAUCUGGAAGAAUCUGGAGACAGGUGCUGCAUGGCUGUCGUCAGCUCGUGUCGUGAGAUGUUGGGUUAAGUCCCGCAACGAGCGCAACCCUUGCCUUUAGUUGCCAGCAGUUCGGCUGGGCACUCUAAAGGGACUGCCGGUGUUAAACCGGAGGAAGGUGGGGAUGACGUCAAGUCCUCAUGGCCUUUAUGACCAGGGCUACACACGUACUACAAUGGCCGAUACAAAGGGCAGCGACACUGCGAGGUGAAGCCAAUCCCGUAAAAUCGGUCUCAGUCCGGAUUGGAGUCUGCAACUCGACUCCAUGAAGUUGGAAUCGCUAGUAAUCGUGGAUCAGCAUGCCACGGUGAAUACGUUCCCGGGCCUU